AUGCUAACCGGGCAGGCAGGUCGAGGGUUAUCCAUUGCACUCCAGAUGUGCUGAAUCCUCUGCAAUUUCCACAAAUGUGGAAAAUGUGACUGCGUAAUUUGUGGGGGACUGCGUUGGGGUGGGGAGAAA
rnacentral:snRNA from 1 species